GCUUUAUUUCUUGUUUCUAUUUCCAUUUUUAAAUUCCGGAUGGUUUUGUUCAAUUCCUUCACCUGUUUGGUUGUGUUUUCCUGUAAUUCUUUAAGAGAUUUUUGUGUUUCCUCUUUAAGGGCUUCUACUUGUUUACUUGUGGUGUCCUGUUUUUCUUUACGGGAGUUAUGUAUGUCCUUCUUAAAGUCCUCCACCAUUAUCAUAAAAUGUGAUUUUAAAUCUAAAUCUUUCUUUUCUGGUGUGUUUGAGUAUCCAAUAUUUGCUUUGUUGGGAGAACUGGGCUCUGAUAAUGCCAAGUAGUCUUGGUUUCUGUUCCUUAGGUUCCUGUGCUUGCCUCUCGCCAUCAGGCUGUCUCUGGUGUUUGCUUGUCUUGCUGUUUCUGACAGUGACUUGACCCUCCUGUAGGCCUCUGUGUCAGCACUCCUGUAGACCUGUUUUGUUGUUUUCUUUCAGCGGUUUCUAGGAGCAAAGUGCUCUGCCCUCAGGUGUCUAGGCACUCUUAGUGACUGUCUUUCAGCUCUAGGCAUAGGCAGGAACCGAAAGGGUCCUAUCCCUGACUGCUUCUAGAUCCCUGCACUCAGGGGGCACAGAUGGCACUAGGUGAUUCCCUCUUGGGUCGGGAGUGUGGGCAGAGGGUAGUCUCCUCUGAUUUCUCAGGAGUGUCCACAACUCUGAGGGUCCAGCUCUCUCCCUUACAGGGUUUGGGUGCAAGGAGCUGUUUGAUCGGUUCAGUUCAGUUCUGUGGGAAGACUGGAUCCGAAGGUGCCUGCUGCUGACUGCUCCUAUAUUCCAGUGUCCAAAGGUACUAUGCAGUUUCCUCUUGGGCCAAGGAUGUGGGCAAUGUGGGCGGAAGUGGCAGUCUAUCCUGCAGUCUCAGGAUGGUCCGCACUUCUGGGUGUUCAGCUCUCUCCCCCAUGGGAUUUGGGAGAAGAGAGCUGUGGGAUAGGAUCAGUUCAGUUCUGGGCAUAGCCAGUACUUAGUCUUUAAAGGAAGGCUCUGCUGAUAUUAUUAUACAGAUGAACCCUGAUGAUCAAAAAUCAAAAAUCAGACAAAUAUUGAAUGAUUCCACUACAAAGACAUGUAGGGUAGUUAGUCAUACAGACAGACAGUCAAACGAAGGCUAACAGGGACUGUGGACAGGGAAAUAUUUGUUUUCUGGAUAUGGAACUUCACUGUUGCGAGAUGGAAAAAUUUUAGAGAUCUAUUGCACCUCAGAGUGAUUAUACUUAAGACUAUUGAACUCUGUAGAUUAAAUGGCUAAAACGGUACAUUUUAUAUUAUGAAUCCCCACAACCCUCAGAAGGCAAGUCUGAUCACAUCACUUCUCUGUUUCAAACCAUCCUGCAUGCUUUGGGUGCAAAUCUUUUGUGCAUUGAUACACUGUAUCCUCUUGGAUUCAUCCAACUGCACUUCUCUUCUAGUCCCUCUUACCAUUGGCAACAACUCCCCUGAAUCUCAACAGAAACUCAUUCUUUGAGAGUUUCUUGGUCAACGCCCAGCCAGGACUGCUCUCCUAAUACCCUCCUAUUCAGUCUGUAAUUGCACACUCACUAUUUGGUCAAAGUCACUCUGUCACCAGACCAGACAUUCAGUGGAGACAGAAGUUCUUUUUCUUUCUCACUAGUAUAUCCCCAACAUCUUCCCCAAUGCCUGGCAUUCCAUAAUCUCUAUCAUGAAUUACUCAAGUAUUGAGAUGGGCCAGGAAAAAGCCAGUCUGAGGAAUCUGAAAUCAUGAGUGUCAACUUUCUAAACACAAUAAGGAGAUAUAUAGGGUAAACCUGGAAAACUUAAAGGACACUUGUUGAAGGAGUGUAAAUACGACCCCACAGACAGUGGGAGACGAACACUGAGCUUUGGUUUGGUUUGCUCUGCUUCUCUAUCCUUUGCUAAAGACGCACAUGUAUUGGUUCGCCUUACAUAUCAUUGUUGAGCUCAACUUGUGAUAAUGCCACCAUCGAGAGAAACUCACCCGAGAACUGCUCAUGAGGUUCCUGUGGGAGCAUGGCUGUUUCUUUAGGAUUGGUCUACAACUGCCUGGUGUCUGAUUGCUGAAAGGACUGGACUAUAGCUGCCGGUUCGUGUGUGCUGUCUGCCUGCCUAGAGGACUGAUCUGAAGCUGCUGAGUCCUAUUUGGUGUUUGUUACAGGAUUGGUCUGCUGUCAAAGGAGAUCAAGCUUUUUCCCAAAGAACUAUUGCUGAACAGGUCCAUUUCCCCCCUAUCCUAAUAAAUUUUCUCCUCCACUACCUCUGCUGGGUAGAGGAGAGGGUGAUCCCUUAUUAAAUGUGGGUUGCAAAAAAUGUAUGCCUACACUCUUUUAUCAUGACCCUGAUUAACAGGCUGUUUUAAAAUGUCUAGAAUUGUAUGGAUAGGAUAGGAUAGAUGUUUUCCAAAUUUUUUUCCUGCAGUGCUGGGACACAACGUCAUGCACAUGCUAGCCAUGUGCAGUCCCACUGAGCUGGACUCUCAACCCCAAUCACAUUUAUUUAUUUAUUUAUUUAUUUAUUUAUUUAUUUAUUUAUUGUGUGUGUGUGUGUGUGUGUGUGUGUGUGUGUAUUCAUGUGUGCAUGCACAUGUGUAGAGGUCAAAAGCUGACUUUUAGGUGUUGGUACUCUCCUUCCCCCACAUGGAUCCUGGUCAUCAAACUCAGGUGGUUGAUUUGGUGGCAGGCACCUCAUCUGUCGAGCCAUCUCACCAACCCCCAACAGAUAAUAUUUUUAAUUUUUAUUUUUUAAAUUAAAUUAUAAUCACAUAAUUUCCCCCUUCCCUUUUCUCACUUCAACCUCUACCACCUACCCAACCCACUUACUGUCUCUCAAAUUUAUGACUCUUUUUCUUGACUUAUGAUACACACACAAUUAUAUAAAUACAACCUGAUUAGUCCCUAUAAUGUUACUUAGAUGUGUGUGAUUGCAGGGUUAAGCACUUGGUAUUAUUGGAUAACCGGUGGGCAUAGCUUAUCUCAUGGGAUGACUACUUUUCCCAUUCUUAGCAUUCUUUGGUUGCCUAUAGUUCUUCGUCUAUGGUUGAGGCUCCAAGAAAUUUUCCACUUCUAAGUUAUCAGGCAUAUUGGUGUUAUCUUUGCCAAGUCUUUUUUAGAUAGCCACACUGGUGGGACUUUAUGGAUGUAGCUUUCCUGACAUUUGUAGGAGGCACAAUCUCACAGUAUACUUCGUGUAGUCUCCCGCCUCUUUUGAGAGGUUUCUCGAGCCCGAGGUGCAUGUGUUUUAUUUUACCCUUUAUCAGUUGGGGCUGGGUACCAUAUGAUCACUGGUUCUCAGCAUUUUCAUCAGUUGUGGUUUUCAGUGAUGGGCACCGUUAGUGUCAAAAGAAAACCCAAACCAAUACUAGGCAUAAGAAUCCUUUUAAGUCGUUGGUGAAGAAAGUGCAGGAAACUCCCAAAACAUCAUAGGCUAUUGCUCUUGCUCAUCGUUGCUUCCCAGAGUUGAAAGUCCGUACUGCUAGAGGAACCACGCACUUUGGACAUGAACCCAAAGGAUCAGAGCUGGAUCUGACCUGAAAACCUCCUCCCUGAGGACCAGUUUUCAGAAGGUGCUAUGCAAGCAUCCAAAGUAGGGAAGCUGAGUACUCCUAUUCAGCUGUCACACCUACAAACUACAGUAACAACCAGAAUGGCAAAAUACUCCCCAGGGUACACUAGUGGCACGAAUAUCAAGGCACUAACCAGCAGCUUUUUUUUUUCAACUUUAUUAACUUGAGUAUUUCUUAUUUACAUUUCAAGUGUUAUUCCCUUUCCCGGUUUCCGGGCAAACAUCCCCCUAAUCCCUCCCCCUCCCCUUCUUUAUGGGUGUUCCCCUCCCCACCCUCCCCCCAUUGCCGCCCUCCCCCCAACAAUCUAGUUCACUGGGGGUUCAGUCUUAGCAGGACCCAGGGCUUCCCCUUCCACUGGUGCUCUUACUAGGAUAUUCAUUGCUACCUAUGAGGUCAGAGUCCAGGGUCAGUCCAUGUAUAGUCUUUGGGUAGUGGCUUAGUCCCUGGAAGCUAUUAACCAGCAGCUUUUUAAAUUGUACUUAAAACCUGCUCUACAAGAGGGAAAUCACGCCUGGUAGUGAAAACCUAGCCAACUACUUAGGGUAGGUGAAGUCAGGAAUAUUGGAGAAAAGCUUACAACUGUCACUUUAACCAGCAUAAGUCCUGUAUUGUUGAUAUUUACCCUUAUACCCACAGAUUAGUAUAGCUUUCACCCUUCAUCAAAUAAUAUUUUCAAGGAAUUGUGUGCCAUGGGAAAAUUGUUAGUAUGUAGCAUCAAAUAGACAAAGUAGGCUAUGUAUAAUUAUAUCCAAUUAUGUUCCCAAUUUUAAAAAAUCAAAUUCAAAAAUAAUCCCAGCAUUUGGGAGGCAGAGGCAAGCAGAUUCUUGUAGAUCGAGGCCAAUCUGGUCCACAGAGCAAGUUCCAGGAUAGCCAAAGCUACAUAGAGAGACUUUGUCUCAAAAAUAAAAGAAAAUUGUGAAACAAUAAAUAAAAUGUUUUUCAAAGAACAAAUAAUCCAAUCCAAAAAUUGUGCAAGUUAAUUAACAGAUGAUUCUCAAAGGAAAUUCAAAUGAUCAAUAAGUAUACUCUUUUUUGUUUUUCAAGAUUUAUUUAUUUUAUAUAUCACGAGAACACUGUAGCUUUUAUGAAGCAAACAAAUGCUGAUGCAUAUUCAGAGAAGGGGGAAUCCUUAUGCACUGCAGGUGAGAAUGCAAACUGGUAAAGCGACUAUAGAAAUCAAUUGGAGGUUCCUCAAAGAGCUGAGAAGACAAUGACUAUCUUGGCUAUACUGAAGGAUUCGAAGUCACCAUACCUCAGAGCUACUUGAGAGCUCCACUAUGCACAAUAGCUUGUAAAUGGAACCAGCCUAGAUGAUGAUCAACAGAUGGAAGGAUAAAGAAAAUGAGAUGUUUAUGUCCAGUGAGUGUCUUUUCAGCCAGGAAGAAAACAGAAAUUGUGGUAUUCAUAGGCAGAUCAGAUAGAACUGGAGAUGAUCAUGUUAAACCAAAUAGGCCAGUCUCAGUCUCACAAAAGAAAGUGUCACCUGUUUUAGUCUAUGUGGAAACAGUACUCUAAGCUGUUGACAACAGUCUUUUUGGAUCACAACAUGGUAGUCUGUGAUAACCUCAAAAUAUGUAUGGAGGGAACUUUAGAAGCCAUUAAGUGCAUGAAAGAGUUGUCCUGACACUGUACAUUGCCUUUAUAUGGAAAGCAGAAUUUUGCUUAAAGUGACAGGAGCAUCCACAGUGACUUUGGGUGUAUUGCUGGAAAUUAUGGUAACAUGCGCCCCUGGCUACUCUUUGAUGCUUACCGCAAUAAUUUUAGUGACCUUGAAUAUUUGGCUGGUUUACUAGAUGUUUUACAAUGAACACAUAUUGCUUUUUAUACUCACAAAAAGAUUAAAGAAAACAUUAUUUUGAGAAAGAAAGGGAUGUCUCUGUGUUGGAGUGAAUGAACACGGUUUCUCCCUCAAGAAUAGGGGGUGACUGGAGAUGUCCUUGUCAACGCCAUGCCCCUCAACCUCAUGUUGAAGUGUUUUGACAAAGAAGAUCACUGGGGUCUUAUCUGUACCCCCUAGGAAUAGCUCUAUGGAGUAUAAAGCUUCAAGAUAACACCUCAAUACAAGCACAGACGUGCACACACACACACACACACACACACACACACACACACACACACACAAACCACAAACUCUGGCUUUGCAGAACAAGGAUCAUGUGCAGAUUGCUGCUAUGGCCAGUAGACGGCAGCAGAGGAUGACUAUUCUCUCUCGUUAAAAGCAUUUAAAAGUGGAAUUAUUUUCAUUUUGGCAUCAUUUCUUUUCUACUGAGGCUCAAAAAGCCAACAAAAACAAAGCUUUUUUUUUAAAAAAAGAUUAAAUUGAAACUGGGUAAAAGGCAGUGGAUAUUUCAGCCCUGUGUUUCAUAGAACACCAUGCCAAAUCAAAUAAUAUUUUCCUCCCUCAGUUAUUUUGAAAGCGCCAACCACAGUUGAGAAGUAAUCUUGCUGCCUAGAGCUAGUGACUUAUAUCUUCUGCGGAGAGGAAAAUGGAAAUGACUGGACCAUCUGGAGAAGGAGGCUGGGGAGAAACAUGAGAACUGGGAAGAAAGCAAAUGACCCCUGACUAGGUAGCUGGAGGAGCACAGGGAGCGGGGAGGCUGAAGGUGGAGGAGGUUGUUGUGAGUUGCACUGGAGCCCUCCAAAUCCACAUGUUUAAGUCUUAAUCCUUAGCACCCAUGAAUAUGACCUAAUUUGGAAAACACUUUGCCUAGCUCCCCUCCAAUGGCUUGGAGGUGCCGUUGCACGCUCCUUUUGCUUCUCAGCCCUACCACCAAGUGGUGGUGUGUCCUGGGAUUUGGUCACAUCUCUUCUCAUACUACAUUUCUCCAUUAACCGAGCUCAUUCUUUUGCCUGCCAUUCCCACCUGUAGGCUAACAAGUCCCAAACCUCUCUAUCUGAAGCAAUAUCCAGCCCUGCCAUCGUCCACUUCAGAUCCAUUUUACAGUGCUGUCAUCCCCUACUUGGUUGAUGUUCUAAAGUCUGCUACUUCAAAAAAUGGAGGGGAUUUAGCUCAGUGGUAGAGCGCUUGCUUAGCAAGCACAAGGCCCUGGGUUCAGUCCUCAGCUCUGGAAAAAAAAAAAAAGGAAUGAUCACAAGAGCUAUCCUCUAACUAUUCCCAAUACAAAAGAAUGUGAGUGCCCCCUCCCUCCCUCCAUCCCUCCCUCCCUUUCUCUUCCCUCCCCCCACUCUGUGUGUGUGUGUGUGUGUGUGUGUGUGUGUGUGUGUGUUUAAAACAGGGUUUCUCUGCGUAGCCCUAGCUGCCCUGGAACUCACUCCAUAGACAAGGCUGAUCUUGAACUCAGAGGUCCACCUGCCUCUGUCUUCAUGAAUUCGGGGAUUCUAGGUAUGUGCCACCACCAUCCAGCACACACUGCUCUCUUUAAAUAUAGGAAUCAUGCUCAGAUCAGGGAGAUGAUCAUACCACAAAACACAACUUAGAACUGACACCUGCUAAAGGGAUGGCAGUGUGACAUCUUUCACACUGAUUCCCAGAACACAAUUGCUUGGCCCGAGCAUGGGUGGGGUACAGAAUAGUUUCCACCAGUAUUUUCCCUCUCUAGGAAAGCAUAAAUCGGGUUGAGUUGACAUUAAGUGAAUCCUUAUACGUCACUACAGACUCAAGCGCUCCACCAGAUGCCCCACAUUUAUCUCAAACUGAACCUGUCAUACUGCCAUAAAUCAAGCUUUUCCAGAGUUUUCUGUGUCCUCAGUGAAUGCCAGUGCAGUCCUACCAACAGAAAUAGUCUGUUGUAGGUGGUGAGGGUGAAUGGGAGUGAACGCACCUGGGUGUAACGGCGCCUGCGUGUAAUGAGAUUUAUACUAAAUUCAAGGACACCCUAGGAAACCCAGAAUGCCAAAAUAACCUGUUUUGAGAGAGCAGGCACAGGGCACACUUACUGAAAGGCCUUAUCCAGAAGCCUUGCCCACCUGCCUAGCCACAAGGACCCUUGGUAAUAAUGUUUAGUAUUAUACUAUACAAUAAGACUAAUGUAUAAUUUGCCUCUGAACAAAUCCUGUAGAAUUCUGUUCUAGAGGCUCUCGGGGGUUGGCAAACCAUGGGCCAAAUCUAACAUACCAUCUAAUUGUGUAAGCUAAGUUUGAUUGAAGCACAGCAAUGCUAUUUUUUCCACGUUAUCUAUAACUGUGCUUUACUACAAUAAGAGAAUUGCCUCAUUGCUGCAGAGACUCAUGAACAAAAACAUUUACUACCUGACCCUCUACGGAAAAUUUUAUAAACAUUGUACACUAGACUGUUCUGCUCUGAGCCCUACUAGUGGUGCCUGGGCCCUUUAGUACAAGCUUUGGUAGCAAGUCCAUGUCAUCCAACAUUUAACUCAAGAGAAUUCGUACAUAAAUGCUCAGAAGACCAACAAAAAGUGAUAACAAAUAUGGUUUGGAGCAGCCAUUUCGCCCCUCAUCACUCACAUCCAGAGCGAGCAUGGAGCAAGUGUGAACUGGUGCACCUGCUCUUCCCAUACUCCUUCUCGGUCCCUGUGCACCUCUCAUUGUACUGGACUGGUUCUCAUGUCUGCACUCAAUCAACAGUGCUGGGACAACCAGAUAGCCAUCUGGAAGAAUCCAGAGUUGGAUCCAUCCCAUAUACUGAGAGCAAGAUAAAUUCCCACCACUGCAGACUAAGGAGUUUCCUUUGCCUGAGGAAGUCCCUGGAUGGAUGAUCAGUUUAGAGACCCAGAAGAUAAGCAAAUGCCUUGUGGGAGCCAGGGGGUUGGGGUUUUGAUGGACCUAGUAUACAGCAAGCAGACCCCUUGGCUGGAAAAAAGAUGAGCCAACAAUGUGUAUAUACAACGUGUACAAUUUAGAACUGGCCAGGAAGUAGGGCUAAAACUGACGGUCUCAGAGGGAUCAGAGCAGGCCAGACCCACAAGAAGUGGAUCUCACUGACACAGGAAGAGCACAGGCUCCUUAGCCAAGGGGUUGGGCAAACAUCGUUCAUUAGUUCCUAGAAUAUAGCUAGGGUGUUGCGUAACUCAGGGGUCAUGACUGUGGUGCCGCCCACCCCUGAUUCACGAAGCCCCCAGAGGCUCACAUUCUGGAAAACUCACAGGCCAUGGAGUGGCUCCAGGAACUGAGGUAAUCCCAGAAAAGAUGAAGUGAUCCCUGCUUCAUUUUUCAAGUAGACAGCUAGAGACCCUGCGGACAAAGGACAGAGAUGGGAAGGCGAGAGUGAAGCCAACAGGAUGAUCCUUGUAGUGACUCAAACCUUACAAUCUGAAAAGCAUUAGAAGUAAUUUUAAAAAUACCUUACAUGUUUGUUCCUUUAGUUUGUCCAGACUCUUGGAGAGUUGUUAUUACUCGCAGUCUAAAGUUACACCACAUGACGAAUUUUGUGUUUAAUCCAUAUCUCGGCUCAGGAAAAUAGAAGACCAACCCAAACCUGAACCAUGAUCAAAAGCAAAGGGGCAUGCUGUCCCUGUCAGCUGGGUGACACCUGAAAUGGGGAGGGGCAGGGGAGAGACAGGGGCACAAUGAUUACCUCAGCCUCUGCUUCAAAGCCUGGGUACCCCCUGAAGUCUUGGAGCAAGGAAAGAUGCUGAAUUUCCUGAGUUGAGCUCCUUUUGAAGUCUUUCUCAGCCACUUCAGGAUGUGGCCAUCCUGACAGGAAUGAAGAUACUCUAAAGACAAGCUUAGGACCCUCCUGUUGGCUCUAAGUCAAUUGAAACGACAGACCCCUAAAAAUCUUUCCCAUGGGAGAUACAGGCUAGUAAAAUGAAAGGCUGAGGCUGUGGUGCCAACCAAAGGAGAAACUUAUCUCCCAAGAUUCCACACCAUUCUGACAAGUUGCCAGACCAAUUUACAGGAGAGAGAAGGUGGAGCCCAUGCAGACAAUAAAGGGUCAAUGAUGGGCAAGCGACACCAUCUCGUAACUGGAACUGCUUAGUUAUACAUAUCUCUGGCCCCCUAUUUAAAUCUACCUGACAGUACCCAGAAAAGGGACAUGGAGACGCAGAGCUACUGGUCCUUUUAGUCCCCUUUUCUUAAUGUGCAGCAUUAACUACAUGAGUAAAACCCUUUUCUCCUGCAAAUUUUCGCUCUUCUUUAUUUGCCUAUUGAAGACAAAUUGCUAAGCCUGGUUUGUGAAGGGCCAAAUUCUCAUCCUAACAACUCUGGUAAUGAGAACAGUCAAGAGUGCCAGCCCACAAAGUCCCCCAAUGCCUGGUUUUCUCUCACUUCCCAUUCUUUGAGUCUCGAGAAUUGCUUCUUGCUACAUCCUCCCAGUCUCCUCUGUGGAGAAGAUAUAUGGCUCUUUUUUGACUUCUUGUGACUGUAGAAGGGAGAGUGGUAUAUUGGAGAACUGGCCAGUCAUCUGUUGUGGUAGCCACAUGCCCAUCCUGAGGAACCACAUUGUGAGAUUUCCAUGUCAGGCCUCUGGAUGGAAGUGUUCACAAGUAGCAUUGUUUGUAAGGUGGGAUCUGGGAGACGUGGAAAAAGGCUGGUGAUUUUGAAAAGUCUGAGCAAUUCAGCCUGGAGCCUCUUCCCAAGUCUUGCCAAACAUGCAGAGCUGAGGGUGUGGCUGAUUCAAUGGAUGUUACCUUAGGCUCUUAACCAUCAGACUGCCAAGAAAAUGUGUGAGCCCAAAUCUUAAGGGCAAGAGCACCGACAGCAUCCUUAAUGCAUGGCCAACUGCAGGCACAGGGCCUCUGCCUCCCAAUGUAAAGCUUUCCCACCAGUCUAGAAACCAGUCCCAAGUCACUUUGUCCUGCAUUGUCCCAUGGUCACCCAGAGACCUGUCUGGCACCUCCUCCUUGCAUUGCAAGGACUAGGGCAGAAAGGUGAGACAGUUAACCUGAGCCAAGCAAGGGAUGAAGACCAUGAUGCAAAAUGAAGCAGGAGGCAAAGCUGGACAAGAAAUGCCAGGGCCCCUGGGUUCGGUCCCCAGCUCCGGAAAAAAGAACCAAAAAAAAAAAAAUAAAUAAAAAGAAAUGCAAGGGCUGUGGCGAUGACUGUCCUCCUGGCUUCCAUAGUUCUUUAACGUGCUUUUAAAGGACACGACCUCAGAAAGUGUGGUGGGUAGGUUGAAGGUGUGGCUAGAUGACAAAACCGGACACUGUCAUAUUUGACACCUCCUUCGGUUUCAUGAUCCCACACCCUUUUUGCCCCAAAUUCUUUCCGACUUCUCUUCAACUCUAUUUCCAUUGUAGCCCAAGCCACUAACCAUCAUCUUUCUGUGAUGAUUAAGACAGGGAAGGCAGACAGACUAUAAGCUACCUAGUUGAAUCUGAAUCUCAGACACAUAAAAUCAGUUUCAGCCUAUCUUGUACUACAUUUGGGCCACACUUACACUUAAACAAAGCAUUUUCUCUGUGAAGUUUAAGUGUAACUGGACCAUCUGUGUUUCAUUUUGUUUGUUUCUCUUUUUUCCCUUUUGUUUUGUUUCUAAACCUAGCAACCAGACCAAGAGCUUCACAGCCCAGCAUCCCUUACAAAGCAGCCAAAAGGAACUUACAGACAUUUAGAUAUGGCCAUUGUCACUCACUACUCAACACCAUGAAAUCCCUGCUCACCCAGGGAUCAAGUCUAAGCUUUUCACACGAUACACAAGAACUAUCUCUGCCUGAAGGCUUCCCAGCCCUUAUCUUCAUCUCAUUCUGUUACCCCGAAUCCACGCUAUGCCCCCAACAUACCAGAUGCCCUAGACUCUUCUCAACGUGCUUCUUUGCUUUUACAUAUACCAACUCUGUCACGUUACCUGAAGAAUUAAAGUCAUCCAGCUAGCAACCACCAUCACUGACACGCAACAAAAGACAUAUAGGCCAAAGGAUUAGAAUAGAGGACUGACCCUGAAAUAACCCAAAGUGCCUAGAGCUACCAGAUCUUUGGACAAGGGUGUCAAAAACAUACACUAGAAAAAAAAGUCAACCUCUUCAACAAAUGGUCCUGUGGGAAUUAGGUACUCACAUGAAGACAGAUGAAACUAGAUUCCUGUCUUCCCCCCUAAUACAAACAAAAGUUCAAAGUUGAUCAAAGGCCUUAAUGUAAGACCUGAGGCUUUGAAAGUGCUCCAGGAAAGCAUAGAUGAAACACUUCAAGACACAGACUUGGGCAUCAAGAGACGCAGACUUGGACUUGGGCAUCAACUUUCAUUAAGGGACAUACAGGACUCAACUCUGAGAACUGACAAACUAGGUUGCGUGAAAUUAAGAAACAAACACCAGAGUCUAAAAGAUACCCUCAGGAUGGGAGAAAGCCUUGCCAACCACACAUUAGAUGGGGGAUUGCUAUCCAGAAUGUAUAAAGAAAUGCAAAAGGUAAACACCAAACCUUCCCCCCCCCCCAGUUAAUACGUGCUGAUGAGCUGAAUAGUCAAUUCUCAAAACAAGAAAUACAAAUGACCAAUAAAUAUUUUUUACAAGUAUCCAGCAUCUUUAGUCGUGAGGGAAGUGCAAAUUAAAAUUGGUUUUGAGAUUCCAUCUCAACCCACUUAGAGUGGCUAGUAACAAACAAAUGCUGGAGCUAGCAACGUGGCUCAGCGGUAAGAACGCGUGCUGUUCUCCCAGAAAACCGGGUACCAAUAUGGCAGUUCCCAACCACCUAUAACUCCAGUUUCAAGGAACCUAACACCUUCUUCUAGAUUCCACGGGUACUAAGAAUGCACAUGGUACACAUGCAUAAAGGCAGGUCAAUAUCCACACAUACGAAAUAAGAACAAAGGUGUUUUGUUUUGUUUUGUUUUGUUUUGUUUUGUUUUGUUUUGUUUUGUUUUAAUCCUAGCAAGGAUAUGGGGAGAGAAGCCUUAUAAAUUGGGUGGGGUGUGAACUGGGGUAAAUAUGGAGGGUCCUCAGCGUGCUGAAAAUAAGACAGCAAAGUGUUCCAGCCCACUCCUGAGUUGCACAACCAUGUUUAUUGCUGGAUUAUUCACAAUAGCAGAAGAUAGAACCAGUCUAAAAUCCCAUCAACAUGUAAAUGGGAAAAUAGUACAAUACACAUAGUAGAAGUUUAUUCAGAUGUGAAGGAGCUUGAAAUCAUGACAUGAGAGAAUGGAGAGGACCUGGAGAAUAUUACAUUCAGUGAAAUGAGCCAGACACAGAAAGACAAACCCUUUCUGUUUUUUCUCAUAUGUGGAGUAUAGAUGUAAAUGCCCCUCUGUGUGAGGAGGGGCAUAGGCGACUGUGAGAGAAGAUGAGAUAUUAAGGGAGGGGACAGAAGGAGAAAGAGUAAUGGAGUACAGGUGACCCAAUACCCGAAGAGGCAACAACUACCUGGGGGAAAGAGGGUAUCAGGAAGAGGAGGGCAGGUGAAAAGGAGACAGGUAUUUGGGAGAGGGACAAAUAACAACAGAUAAUCACACACACACACACAUGAAAAUUUCAUAAUCCAUUAAUUAGUAUGAUGACUUUAAAUUUAAUUUUUAAAUUAUUAAUUUAUCUCAAGGAAAUAACAGGUAACGACAAUGUAAUUUUUAAAAUGAAGCUUAAAAACCAUGUCCUUUUUCUUCUUCAUAUUACUCAUUGCCUCCCAAGCACAAUGCAACCUAGCAUGAAAUAACCCUUUAUACUUAUUUUCCUAUUAAAGCAACCUAUGUGGGUCAGCGACAUGGAUCAACAUAUAAAUGCACGUGUGACUACACACACACACACACACACACACACACACACACACACACACACACACCACAAAUAAAUACAAAUGAAAUUAUCUUUUUAAAAUCUGUGUCUAUUUCUCCUACAGAAGUGUAGCCUCCUUAAAAGAGUAUUUAAGUCUUCUUCAUCGUUGUUGUCACGGUGCACAGAGCGCAGCUGCUGGCCAGCGUGGAGCAAUCAAUAAAAGUGUGAGGUGUGAAUGAACCAAGAGGUGUGAAUGAAUGAAGUAUUGAUUCUAAACCCGAAGGCUCCGUAGGCCAAUAGAAGUGAGUGCAGUAACAGUAGUGGACACCAGAGGGCAGUAUAAGCUUAGUUUUGUCCGGUGGGCGGGGCUGUAGGGGAAAUGGAGCCGAAACCUGACUUGGCUCUCGCAUCAGUUUCAAAGAGAAGAUUUUCUGCUGUUUUGUUUUGCUUUGUUUUUAAAUCGUGGAAACAGGAAACAGGAAGGAACCUUAAAAAAAAGCAGUUGAUUCAAUCGCCUCUGUUCACACAGUUGAGAGAAAUCUCCCUAUUUCUAGUUAACUCCUUGUUUCCAGGAAAUGCAAUUCAGGUUAGGAAUAAAUCACAGGUUAGGAGAUUUUCUUCAUGUCAGAGAACCAGUGAAUGGUAACAGUAGGUCUGAUGUCCAGAGUUCUGCAAGCAAGACCCCAUGUCCUUCUCACUGCCGCCCUAAGAGAGAGGUGCUGUUCCUAAAUUGCACAUGGAAGAAAGCCACCAAGGUGCUGUGGUAGAGUGGGGCUCGGACCCAGGUCUCCAGAUCUCCAUUUUCAUGCCCUGUCCUUCCUCACAGUCAGAAAACUGCCAACGUUGGGGUACAGACUGGAGGCUUCUCUUUCUGGAUGCUUUUGCAAGAGUCACCCGACUGUUGCAAGACGAUUCUGCAGACCCCAACGUUCUCAGCACCAAAUCUCAGAAGGUUCUCAUAUAGGGAAUCCAGGUGGAGCCUCUGAAUUCUGGCAAGUGAGGCCCUUGGGUGGGAAACUAAGGUGGGGGUGGAGGGGGGUUCCUGCUCACUCAAAAGUGCAACGUGAGAAGGUGCAGGGCAAAGCUCGGUGUGUGCAUCUUACUCCGUACCCAGAAGCCUCACCUGCCUCACUUGUACGCCUGACCCUGGGAAGAACAUUGAAACACGUACCCUUAGUCUUUUCGCCCAGUGCUCGACCAGCCUGGCCUUAGAGGAACCUGGAGGGCACAGGGGUCCCUAGAAGUAGAAGAAGAAGGUAAGAUGGAUUCAGGGUAAUCAGAAGAACACACACACACACACACACACACACACACACACACACACACACGUUUAUCUCUGCUAUACAUUUUGAUCCUCCUUCCAGAGGAGCCUCCAAGAUCUUUGUUCCUAGGGCCAGUCUUCGUGGCUGGAACAACUCAGACAUGCUAUGUUCUGAGGGCUCCUUGACAGCAGGGGGAAAAAAAUAGGCCAGCCAUGGGCCCCGCUACAGUGCUCACCACCCAGUUUUGCCUCGCCUUGCUCUCAUACAUAGACUGAGGCCAGAGCUACAAACCUGUAACCCAAGCAGAUGCCCAGCCAGGCAUGGCUUUUUGAUAGAUCUGCCAUUCUUCCCUCUUCAAAGCUCAAGCCCCCCCCCCUUCUGGGUGGAAGUCUCCUGGCAACUCCUCACCUUUCUGGGUGCUGAGGUGGGGAAGAACAGACAAAGCUCAGUCACGGUCUCCUUAUGCUGUGAUGUCCCCAAAUUUCCACUUGGAUCAAAGGAAGGAGAUGGUGAGAGCAGCAGAGAGGUUCUUAAUGGGUUCCUACAGAAAACUUUGGCUGCCCUGUGGUGGAAAGUUUCUCAGCACAUCUUUUUGGAGGUUUUUCCUCAGCUGAGGCCUGCUGGUCAGUUCCAGGGUCUCCAGAAGACCCACUCACACCGGGUUCGGUAAAUGCCCACUGAACAACUUGCUGUGCCUUGGCUCCUAUAGCGGAGACUGGAGAUCAAAUGAGCACCAUUAUUAACCUCGGCCAUGUUAGAUGAUAAGGCUUAGCAUACCUAAUUGCCAGGGGAGAAGCAAAAGGAUUAGGAGGGACCCAUUAGCAAGUAAGAAACACCUUGGGAUGAAGAGAGCAAGUUGCGUUAGUUCACCAGAUGCAUUUCCCUUGCAUGUCAAAAAUUUAAAGUCCAUCUGUCUAGUUUUGGUUUUGUUUCAGUGCAAUUCAAGGCAGAUUCUGACAGGUAGCUGAGCUUCUGGGAGCAGUAGAGAGCAGUGAGUAGUAUCAAGGCCUGGAAUCAGAAAUGCUUGCUUUCUAGCUAGGGCAGAUGCUACCUGUGCACGUCUAGAUUAGUCACUUCCAUUCUCCGAACAUGUUUCCCUGGGUGCAAAGUGGGGAUGAUAACCACACCUCCCUCUAGGACUAGGAGGAUCAGAGUAGACAGAGUAGAAGCAAAAUGAGCCAGCACUGUGUACUAAUGACACAUAGUACAUUGGUAGACAUCAGUUAUAACUUGUGUUAUUAAGAGGUCAGUGAGCAGUACAGAAAGCUUUCCUUGGGGGGCUUGGACUUGAGCUUAGCCUUGAAUGGAGAAAAGAUUUUGGAAGACAUCUUCUGAUGGAAGAAUAUUCUCAUAGGUAAGUCUUCACAAAAAAUGAAAUUGAACAAGAUUCCCAUUUUAAACCCCCCCCCCCUUCCAAUGAAUGAUCUAAUGAGAUUGUCAUGCACGUGACAUGACACAAGAGAUCCCAGCAAGGACAGGGAAGUCAUAGGGGAGUCCAAGAAGCAGCAUAGGCCUUCUAUUCUUGAUAGAUAUUCAUACUUCUUCACAGGGCAGCAGAGGCCUAACUGUGGGCCAAGGCAUGCAGUCAGUCAGCUUCCUGCUUUGUGACCAGGGCAGCUCUGAAGCUGUAGACCCGUCCUUUCUGCUCCCCUCCUGAAAAAUUUAACCCUGAAGAAUGAGCUUUCUGGGUCCCAGAAGAUGAAGGCAGAGACCCUGCUAAGGAAGUGGUAUGCGUCUGAAUGGGCUUCUCAAGAAACAAGGCCCUACCUCCCACCUCGUCCCCCAGCUCCAGUUCUGCCCUUGUUUUCAUAUUUGAAAUGUUGAUGAAUUCCUUGAGAAGUUUAAACAGUCGCUGCUUGCUGCAUCCAGGGAGCCAGGACUUAAUUUCCCCCACACUCCUCUCCCUCCCCCAGCUAGGGAGAAUUGUGGGUACCACUUAACCUACUCCUAUUCUUGUUUGGAUAGAAGUGGUGUGGUGUGUCCUUUUCUCUGCCAUCUCUAUACACUAGGUCAAGCUGCAAUAACAAACGCCCUGAAAUCAAGGUAUACAGAAAAGGCUUUUUCUUCCUCACACAAUCUAGCGAAGGUUGAACCACAGCUAGGGAAAUUAUCUGAAACCAGGGGCCUCCAAGAACUCCAAACCAGAGCCAGAAAGACCUGGGGAAGCAGGGAGUCCUAGCUCAGACUGCCACAACAAACAGCCAAAAACCACCUCCUAACCAUGUGGCAUCUAUCCCUUGGUUCUGAAUCCUGGGAAGUCAGUCCACCAUCAGUGCACUGGAAUCUUUUGUGUCUAGGCUGGGUAAGCUUCCUGUCAUGCAAAUGGUGUCUUUUCGUGGCAUCCUCACCCCAGAAAGAGAAAGAUACCCCUCUGAUAAUAGUGUUAAUGGUUCUGCAUCAGGACCCCAUCUUUCCAAGCUCACUUGCCUUUCGUUCUUUGCUCCAGAUCCAGACACUCUAUGAAAACUCCUUUGGGAGAUAUAAUCCAGCCCACAACAGCACGGUAACCCUUGAUGAUGAUGCGCAGUGAUUCCAGUGGCCUGCUCUCAGGGACUUGCUUAUGUUAUCUUCAGCCACCUGCCACCCACUGCCACGUGUGCCAGUGUGGUUAUUUUGCACAUUGUCACUUGCCCUCCUGGGAAAUCAUCCACACAGCACUGAAGCCAGAUGCUGUCAACAUGCCUUGGAACAUCCCGGUCUCCAGAACAUUGAGGGGAAAAAAGGAAAUUUAUAUCAUUGUGCUGUCUGUGUCACUAAAACUUGGGUAAACUUGCCAGAAGAGUCUGCCAGCUACGGCUGUGUGAAACCAAAGCAGGCUACCCUGAGAGAUAAUGAACUCCUCAUUCCUGGAGGGUAACAGAAGGGCCGCUGACAGGGAAGAGACCAGUGGGAACGUGAAGUUCACUGAAGGAAGCAUUCCAUUGGAUGCAUACAGCGGAGAAGCCAUUCAAGUGCUCACUCGCAAGUGCGGAGCUCAGGGACAGGGAAAAAUUCUCUGCCGUUCCAACACUUUGCCAGCAGGGGGAAGCAUCUCAUGCUACAUUUCUCCCCCAAACUGAGCAAGCCGACUGGAGAAUAGCAGAGCUGAACCGCUGGUUAGGAUUGCAGAAUUUAGAAGCUUUCAGCGCAUCCUGCUAGCCUGAGAGUUGGCCCAGGUGAACUCAACCACCCACUUCUGUAAGGGGAGGGAGGGGCACUACCUUUCCUAAGCGACUGAUAAAUUUGGUAAGAGCAUUUGAGCAAUUUACCAGGAGACAAUGUCUUAGUACCCUGCCUUUCCAGUCUACUGCAAGAGUCCAUGUUGGAAUUCAAUGGAAUCUCUCGUUGAGCAAGCCACACAGCCUCUCACAACCUCUCCUCUUUGUCUGUAAAACGGCUUUGAAAGUCACAUCUUCCCCUUCCUGCCUCAGUGUUUCAACAGGAGCCCUGGGCUUCUUCUACAAAGGCCUCGCUCCUUCUUGCUCCAGACUCAUUCCUGAGGCCCCAUCUCCCAAGCCUCCUAUAGGAACCCUACUCCGACAUCCACACAGUCCCCAGAGAAACUGCCUAGAAGCCUGGACUUUUCUUCUAGGACACCAUAGUUAAACAUCUAUUGUGAUUUUUAAUAGCUUCUCUCUCUCUAUCCCUCCCUCCCUCUCUCCCUCCCUCCCUCUUUAUCUCCCUCCCUCCUUGCCCCCUACCCCCAACUUAUAAGGAAUGUGAUACAUCAUAGGCACUCAAUACCCAUUUGACAAAUGUUAAGAUUUCUUUUGAGGGGGGGAUGGAAUCCUGGACAUAAUGCAUGCUAAGCCCACACUCAACCAUUGAGGUAUAUUCCCAGCCUGCAAAGGACUAUGAUUUUUCAUUUUGGAAAGAAUAAAAUUGAGGCCCAGAAAGAUACCAAUACCACCUUGGUUCUCUGAGUUCUCUUACAUAUACCAUGCAAGACCCUUAAACUGGUGGGUAAUUUCGUUUUUCAAUGCCUCUGUUUUCUCUGCUGCAGAGUGAGAUUGUGAUGGAGACUAAAUCAAAGCAGGUGAAGCUCUGUGCAUGGCUCAUGAGAAGCACUCUAGUGUUACCUAGCCGUGCCCCUUUUGACUGUCAGUUUCCUGGCCUGACUCAACUUUGUCAUAUGCAAAAAUGAAAGGGUGAGACUCACAGAAUGAGCUUUCAGGCUCAUCGACUCUGAUCUUGGGAUUCUCUAUGGCUGAGAAAGGGACACCACUGGUAGAUGAUCCUAUGAGAACAGAUGAGGGCAAAAUGGAACCCUAAAAGAUGACCCAGUCAGAUGCUGUUCAAGCUGGGGUAGGAUCUAGAGCUCUGAGUUUGGGAGCUUCAUGCUACUGGGCUCCCUUGAUUAUGCCCUACCAUUCUUCAACUCCAACAGAAGAAGGGAAAGCAGUUUGCACAAUGGGUGAAAGGUGACAGAGAGGUAGCAGCCUCUCUGGAAUAAAGGGAAGUAGUGGAGACCCCAUAAUCCAGCAGUGGCCUUCCUUUCUGGCUGAGGUUAAUGCCCCACCCUAUGUGAAUUUCUUCUCCCAGACCUCAGCGGCCUCCACAAUACAGCCCAAAGUACCUGAAGCCCUUUCACUGUUUGCUGGAAUCCCAGCUAUAAGCACUGUUCCUGAAGGUGGUUCCAAGCCAUCUACCCAUUCAAGCUGGCCUACCAGGGAAGGAGAUUGAGGCCUAUAGCAGCCAAAGAAAAGCAUGGCCAAGCUGCUCGGAAAACCAAGGCAGAAGCAGAUGCAGGACUAGAACCUAGGUUUACAGGCCCCUGAUCCUUCGAGAAAGGAUCCCUAAAUGCUAAGUCUCCUGGAGCAGAUGUCUAGCUCCAUAAUUGCAACUCAGGGUCCCCAGAUGCUGAUAGGAGGAUUUGGGAUCUUUGGAGAGGCCUUCCAGGCUGUAGCCCAAGUGAAA